rnacentral:rRNA from 1 species
GAUGAACGCUGGCGGCGUGCUUAACACAUGCAAGUCGAACGGGAAAUAUUUCAUUGAGACUUCGGUGGAUUUGAUUUAUUUCUAGUGGCGGACGGGUGAGUAACGCGUGGGUAACCUGCCUUAUACAGGGGGAUAACAGUCAGAAAUGGCUGCUAAUACCGCAUAAGCGCACAGAGCUGCAUGGCUCAGUGUGAAAAACUCCGGUGGUAUAAGAUGGACCCGCGUUGGAUUAGCUAGUUGGUGGGGUAACAGCCCACCAAGGCGACGAUCCAUAGCCGGCCUGAGAGGGUGAACGGCCACAUUGGGACUGAGACACGGCCCAGACUCCUACGGGAGGCAGCAGUGGGGAAUAUUGCACAAUGGGGGAAACCCUGAUGCAGCGACGCCGCGUGAAGGAAGAAGUAUCUCGGUAUGUAAACUUCUAUCAGCAGGGAAGAUAGUGACGGUACCUGACUAAGAAGCCCCGGCUAACUACGUG